rnacentral:rRNA from 1 species
UACGUAGGGGGCAAGCGUUGUCCGGAUUUACUGGGCGUAAAGCGCGCGUAGGCGGAUCGAUCAGUCCGGUCUGAAAGCCCCCGGCUCAACCGGGGAGGGUGGCUGGAAACUGUCGUUCUUGAGGGCGAGAGAGGAGGGUGGAAUUCCUGGUGUAGCGGUGAAAUGCGUAGAUAUCGGGAGGAACACCGGUGGCGAAGGCGGCCUUCUGGACGGAUACUGACGCUGAUACGCGAAAGCGUGGGGAGCAAACAGG